rnacentral:rRNA from 1 species
UACGAGGGGGGCAAGCGUUGUUCGGAAUUAUUGGGCGUAAAGGGCGCGUAGGCGGUUUGACAAGUCUGAUGUGAAAUCUAUGGGCUCAACCCAUAGCCUGCAUUAGAAACUGUCGGGCUUGAGUAUGGGAGAGGUGAGUGGAAUUUCCGGUGUAGCGGUGAAAUGCGUAGAUAUCGGAAGGAACACCUGUGGCGAAAGCGGCUCACUGGACCAUAACUGACGCUGAGGCGCGAAAGCUAGGGGAGCAAACCGG